rnacentral:rRNA from 1 species
CUCGGCGCCUCCUCCACCCCAUGUCGAAACGACUCUGUUGCCUCGGGGGCGACCCGGCCUUCGGGCGUCGGGGCCCCCGGCGGACACCUUCAUAACUCUUGCAUCUCUUGCGUCUGAGUGAUACAUAUAAUCAAUCAAAACUUUCAACAACGGAUCUCUUGGUUCUGGCAUCGAUGAAGAACGCAGCGAAAUGCGAUAAGUAAUGUGAAUUGCAGAAUUCAGUGAAUCAUCGAAUCUUUGAACGCACAUUGCGCCCCCUGGCAUUCCGGGGGGCAUGCCUGUUCGAGCGUCAUUACACCACUCAAGCCUGGCUUGGUAUUGAGCGACCGCGGCCUGCCCGCGCGCUCCAAUGUCUCCGGCUGAGCCGUCCGUCUCUAAGCGUUGUGAAUAGCGAUCGCUUGCGAGGCCCGGGCGGUUCGACGCCGUUAAACCCCCCCCCAUUUUCUAUGGUUGACCUCGGAUCAGGUAGGGAUACCCGCUGAACUUAAGCAUAUCAAUAAGCGGAGGAAAAGAAACCAACAGGGAUUGCCCUAGUAACGGCGAGUGAAGCGGCAACAGCUCAAAUUUGAAAUCUGGCGCAAGCCCGAGUUGUAAUUUGUAGAGGAUGCUUCUGGGCAGCGGCCGGUCUAAGUUCCUUGGAACAGGACGUCAUAGAGGGUGAGAAUCCCGUAUGCGACCGGCUUGCACCCGUCACGUAGCUCCUUCGACGAGUC